CCAGUUGUUGCUGGGGAUCUCUGCUUGGCUUUUGUCUAUCGGAUGUUAAUGAGAGUUCAUGAAGAAGGAUGAAGAAGGCUGGUUGGAGGCUUGUCCCUUGUCUCUAUGCACACGAUGUUUAGGCUGUGUGAUGUUGCUGUGCCUGUACAGUGGCAGGACCUCCAUGCUCAGAGACUGAUGCCAUCAUGUCCAGAUGAUGCUGCUACCAUGAUGUGGAUGUGGCGAAUGUGCUGCACUGCCUGUCUCCUG
rnacentral:lncRNA from 1 species